rnacentral:rRNA from 1 species
GUGAUGUGCGUGCUGGGGGGCGGUGUGUGCUGGGGGGUGGAUGCGUUUUCCGGAUUUGUUGGGGUUUAAGGGUUCUUAUGCUGCUAAUUAAGUGCGUGGUGAAAGAUUUCGGCUCAGCCGGAGCAGUACCAUUGUGACUGGUUGGCUUGAGUGCUGCAGGGUUACAUGGAAUUGAUAGUGUAGCGGUGAAAUGCAUAGAUACCAUCAGGAACACCAGUGGCGAAAGCGGCCUCCUGGACUAUUUCUGACGCUAAGACGCGAAAGCUAGGGUAGCAAACGGGAUUAGAUACCCUAGUAGUC